CCCUUAUCCCUAAUCUGAUGAUUCCGAUCCCUAAUCCCCCAGUGGCUCAGUCCAUCGAUCUCUCGACCACUCCCUCAGUCUCUCUCUCUCUCGAACCCUCAGCCUCUCAUACUCUUGGUCAGUUGGUCCAACCUGCAAACCCUAAUCCCUAAUCCGAUCCCUAAUCCCUCAGUGGGUCAGUCCAUCUCUCGACCACUCCCUCAGUCUCUCUCUCUCUCUGGAGUCUGGAGAACUCGAAGGAGGACAACCACCUGAUAUGACAGUUUGAGGGAGAAGAAGGCAAAGUUAAUGGGUUGAACUUUGAAGGACUCUGAAUUGUGGCUCUCGAUGGUGGAACUCUGCCUGCCAGCAAGACAGAUAUUCAAUUGAAGGUGUUCCAAUCUCAAGUUCUCAACAAUUCAAGAAUUCUUACAAUUAAGGCUUAGAAGUUAGAACUGGAGCAACGUAGGAGCACUGCAGUUGGUCGGUUGAGAGGGAAAAUGCUUUUAAUCAAGGAAUGGAGUCAACAUUGACGAAUCUCAGCUCUACACAAGCUGAUGCAUAGCAGGCAACAGCCAACAUCAAACUUUGACUCUUUGAGUGAGGCAGGGAGCACAACAAGCAAGUAUGAAGUGACGAUGAGAUGAAAUUUGAGUCUUUGAAAGUUUGAAUACUUUGUUUUCAACUGUUGUCCGCUUUGUUAUUGUAUGAUUCAUUCAUUUGUGUGAACUGUAAGUGAUGAUAUGAAUUAUGAAGUGAUGAUAAGAUGAAGUGAUGAACUGUAAGUGAUGAUAUGAACUAUGAAGUGUUGAACUGA